GACGAACGCUGGCGGCGUGCUUAAUACAUGCAAGUCGAACGGAAAGGCCCUGCUUUUGUGGGUACUCGAUGAGCCGAACGGGGGGGAAUAACGGGUGGAGCCUCCCCUUUUUUUUGGGUGACAUCAUGUGAAAAGGGCUGAUAACAGCGCAUAACAACUUUAACCAUGUGGUGGAUGGUAAAAUUACGCCGUUGGGGCACGGAAACGCGGUUCAGCGGCUUGUUGGUGGGUUGGUGGCUUACAAGGGCUUUGAGGGGUAGCCGCACUGCCAGGGUGACCGGCCACAUAGGGACUGAGAUAGGGCCCAGACUCCUACGGGAGGCAUCAGUGGGGAAUAGUGCACAAUGGGCGGAAGCCUGAUGCAGCAACGCCGCGUGCGGGAUGACGGCCUUCGGGUUGUAACCCGCGUUCGCCUGUGACGAAGCGUGAGUGACGGUAAUGGGUAAAGAAGCACCGGCUAACUACGUG
rnacentral:rRNA from 1 species